AGUGAACGCUGGCGGUAGGCCUAACACAUGCAAGUCGAACGGCAGCACAGGAGAGCUUGCUCUCUGUGUGGCGAGUGGCGGACGGGUGAGGAAGACAUCGGAAUCUACUCUGUCGUGGGGGAUAACGUAGGGAAACUUACGCUAAUACCGCAUCCGACCUACGGGAGAAAGCAUGGGACCUUCGGGCCUUGCGCGGUUGAAUGAGCCGAUGUCGGAUUAGCUAGUUGGCGGGGUAAAGGCCCACCAAGGUGACGAUCCGUAGCUGGUCUGAGAGGAUGAUCAGCCACACUGGAACUGAGACACGGUCCAGACUCCUACGGGAGGCAGCAGUGGGGAAUAUUGGACAAUGGGCGCAAGCCUGAUCCAGCCAUACCGCGUGGGUGAAGAAGGCCUUCGGGUUGUAAAGCCCUUUUGUUGGGAAAGAAAUCCAGCUGGCUAAUACCGGGUUGGGAUGACGGUACCAAAAGAAUAAGCACCGGCUAACUUCGUGCCAGCAGCCGCCGCAG
rnacentral:rRNA from 1 species